GAGAGAGAGAAUUUUAAUAUUUAUUUAUUUAUUUUAGUUAUCGGCGGACACAACAUCUUUGUUUGUAUGUGGUGCUGAGGAUCGAACCCGUGCCGCGCAUGCCUGGUGAGCGCACUACCACUUGAGCCACAUCCCCAGCCCGCCUGUUAGUUUUUUGCAGAGGUACUGCUUCACACAAACUAACAACAACAACAAAAUCCCUAAAUAAACCUGGGUUAAUUUGAGAUAAUAAGCUAUCAACUACAGCACAAAUAUUAUAUAAUGCUGACUUCCACUACUAAUUCUAACCCCAAUUAAAUAAAAGUGGUGUCUGUAAAAUUAUAGAUAUUGAAGAUAUAACCUGUGACUCUCUCAUUAAAACUGGUGAAACUGGCUUGCUGGUGUUUAAAAUGAAAACCUUGGAGACCAAAGUGAAGAAAGUAAAAGGGCCAAGGAAAAAGCAGCCAAUGUUUUGGCUCUUGCACUAUAAGGUUGACCAGAACCCAGGGAACCAUGGGACCCCUCUCUGGGCUCUGCAAUUCUGGUGAGUCACCUGAUCUGAUCAGGGAGAUCUAGAGGAUCCCAGAGAACAGGAAACCAAAACCAGUGCACAGUCUCCAAAGAGGAGGGUCAUUAGAGAUGGAAAUGUUCAUGAUGCUUCCGCAAGAAGCCACAUAUGGUCAUUAGGACCCUUAUUCAUCCUGACAGAUAGAACCACUGGUAGAUGAAAGCCAAAGGAGCCAAGAGACUUUGCACACAUCCCCAAGGAUGAUCUCUG
rnacentral:lncRNA from 1 species